GGUUUGGAGUACAACUCACAGAAACCAUUUCCACAGCAAAAUGAUUUUGGCAUUCCGGUACGGUGUUGAUGAUGAACGACGGUGUUGAUGAUGAGACUGAAGAUUCCAGUGGUGAUGAUGAUGAACGACGGUGAUGAUUCAGCUUGUUUCCGCGUUUGGUUCAUUUUGUUUUGUUUUGUUUGGUUUUCUUUGAAGGUGUAGGAAGAAUUAUGUUGGGAUUUAUGCACGGUGCAUAAGAACCUUAUGCACCAUAACCGAUCCCGUGGAACUGCCAAAGAUAAUUUUGGUUUAAUAACAAAAGCCACACCAAAAGUGGAACUACCAAGGGUAUUUUUGGGUAACAAAGUUUUCCCUUUAUAGAUAGUUAAAAAAUAGUAAUAUUGGCAUAUAUACCUGUUUCAACAAUUAUAUCAACAAGUAAGAAGGGUUUCCCACCAUCUCUUCAUCAAUAGGAGAAUCCAAACAUGAAACAAUUGAAGCUUUUAUUAAAAGUUCCGCUGUCGGGUUAAGUUGUAGAUUCAUGUAUGAUCGAUUUUUCAACUGCAUAUUUUUCUAUAGCAGAUACAUGAGCAUCAGCAUUUUGUGCACCAGAAUCUAAUGUCCAACCCCUUCAGAUAGAUACAAGUUUUAACUGAAUGGGUGUACUAAAUUUAUAGCCCUGUCAUCCCUAGAAUAAGUGUCUUUGUUAUACACAAGCACAAUUGUUUAGCUUUGUCAUCUCUAGACUAUAUUAGACUUAUCGCAGAAAAGGAUAUGUAGUGCCUUCCUUUCUCCAAUGAUAAGCAUAAAACAUCUAGUAGUAAGGGGUCUCAGAAUACUAGUCAAGUGCUACCCCUCUUUGUAUAUGAAUAAGGUAACAACUGUGAGUGUAGUUGCAUCCCCUAGAAAUAGAGUGGUCGAUACAUAUGUGACAAAUUUCUGACUGAAUACUAGUAAACUUGGUUUGAAUUAAAAAGAAACACCCAAUGACAACUGCUGCACUAUUACCUCUAGAAGAAUUAUUCAAUAAGAAGCAUUGAUUUGAUGAAGUUGGGAUGGGAUGGGAGGGGUAGAACAUACCUCGUUAGCUUCCAACUUUCAGAGCUGCAGGAAAUCUAAAACUGAUGGGACAUCUGAGUUAUUGGCAGAAGUUACCUACAACGUAAAGGUUAUUCAUUUCAAGAAAGCACACAAAAUCUGGUGUUGAUACCGAAAUGAUAAAUAACUUAUUUCUAAGUCUGAAUUGAAUUUAC
rnacentral:lncRNA from 1 species